rnacentral:tRNA from 1 species
UUCUAAGUAGUUUAAUUAAAAUGGUGAUUUGUGGUGUCAUUGAUGUAUUUUAUACCUUGGAUA